CCUACGGGUGGCAGCAGUGGGGAAUAUUGGGCAAUGGGCGCAAGCCUGACCCAGCAACGCCGCGUGAAGGAAGAAUGCCCUCGGGUUGUUAACUUCUUUUAUUCGGGGCGAAACAAAUGACGGUACCGAAUGAAUAAGCCACGGCUAACUACGUGCCAGCAGCCGCGGUAAUACGUAGGUGGCAAGCGUUAUCCGGAUUUACGGGGUGUAAAGGGCGGGUAGGCGGGAGAGCAAGUCAGACGGGAAAUUCCAGGGUUCAACCUUGGAACUGAGUUUGAAACUGUUCUUCUUGAGGGAUGGAGAGGCAGGCGGAAUUGCGGGUGUAGCGGUGAAAUGUGUAGAUAUACGGAGGAACACGAGUGGCGAAGGCGGCCUGCUGGACAUUAACUGACGCUGAGGCGCGAAAGCGUGGGAGCAAACAGGAUUAGAUACCCCUGUAGUC
rnacentral:rRNA from 1 species